rnacentral:rRNA from 1 species
UGGCAUGGUUGUCGUCAGCUCGUGUCGUGAGAUGUGGUUAAGUCCCGCAACGAGCGCAACCCCUAUUGUUAGUUGCCAUCAUUCAGUUGGGCACUCUAGCGAGACUGCCGGUAAUAAACCGGAGGAAGGUGGGGAUGACGUCAAAUCAUCAUGCCCCUUAUGACCUGGGCUACACACGUGCUACAAUGGUUGGUACAACGAGUUGCGAGUCGGUGACGGCGAGCUAAUCUCUUAAAGCCAAUCUCAGUUCGGAUUGUAGGCUGCAACUCGCCUACAUGAAGUCGGAAUCGCUAGUAAUCGCGGAUCAGCACGCCCGCGGUCCGAAUACGUUCCGGGCCUU